CCUACGGUGGGCAGCAGUGGGGGAUAUUGCACAAUGGGGGAAACCCUGAUGCAGCGACGCCGCGUGAGUGAAGAAGUAUUUCGGUAUGUAAAGCUCUAUCAGCAGGGGAGAAAAGAGACGGUAGCUGACUAAGAAGCACCGGCUAACUACGUGCGAGCAGCCGCGGUAAUACGUAGGAGGCAAGCGUUAUCCGGAUUUACUGGGUGUAAAGGGAGCGUAGAGGGCAAUACAAGGCGGAAGUGAAAUACCGCGGCUCAACCUUGGAACUGCUUUUGAAACUGGAUGGCUUGAGUGCAGGAGAGGUAAGCGGAAUUCGUAGUGUAGCGGUGAAAUGCGUAGAUAUUAGGAGGAACACCAGUGGCGAAGGCGGCUUACUGGACAGCAACUGACGUUGAGGCUCGAAAGCGUGGGGAGCAAACAGGAUUAGAUACCCGUGUAGUC
rnacentral:rRNA from 1 species